rnacentral:rRNA from 1 species
CCUACGGGUGACAGCAGUGAGGAAUAUUGGUCAAUGGACGAGAGUCUGAACCAGCCAAGUAGCGUGAAGGAUGACUGCCCUAUGGGUUGUAAACUUCUUUUAUAAAGGAAUAAAACGAGGCACGUGUGCCUUUUUGCAUGUACUUUAUGAAUAAGGAUCGGCUAACUCCGUGCCAGCAGCCGCGGUAAUACGGAGGAUCCGAGCGUUAUCCGGAUUUAUUGGGUUUAAAGGGAGCGUAGAUGGGUUGUUAAGUCAGUUGUGAAAGUUUGCGGCUCAACCGUAAAAUUGCAAUUGAUACUGGCAGUCUUGAGUACAGUUGAGGUAGGCGGAAUGCGUGGUGUAGCGGUGAAAUGCAUAGAUAUCACGCAGAACCCCGAUUGCGAAGGCAGCAUGCCGGCUUCCGACUGACGCUGAAGCACGAAAGCGUGGGGAUCGAACAGGAUUAGAUACCCCUGUAGUC